CAGUAACACACACACACUCACGGAGCCACCCACACACACACGGGGCCACACACACACACACACAGUGGCACACACACACACACUCACGGGGCCACCCACACACACACGGGGCCACACACACACAGUAACACACACACACUCACGGGGCCACACACACACACUCACGGGGCCACACACACAAUCACGGGGGCACACACACACAGUAACACACACUCACACAGACACACACUCACGGGGCCACACACACAAUCACGGGGGCACACACACACAGUAACACACACUCACACUCACGGGGCCACCCACACACACACGGGGCCACACACACACAGUAACACACACACACUCACGGGGCCACACACACACUCACGGGGCCACGCACACACAAUCACAGGGCCACACACACACACACUCACGCACACACUCACGGGGGCACAUUCACAAUAACACUCACUCACACACUGACACACACACCCACUCGCAAGGUCAUACAUAUUUACACACACACAGUAACACAAGCUCACACAGUGACACACACAUAUUCUCAUACACACGCUCAGUGUCACACACACACACACAAUGACAGUGCCACACACACUCACAGUGUCACGCACACAUAGGCAUACACACAUUCACUGUGCCACAUACUCGCAAGGACACACACACACACACACACAGGCCGGCCAGUGUCUACAGUAUGGAUGUGUAAAUGCACUCUUUAUCCGCAUGGUCGGGAGUGCGGGCACACGUGGGGAUGUGCGGACCGAAUGCAGCGAUCCGACCAAGUGUGUACUGAAGCGAGAGAGAGGGACGUUGCAGCGGUACCGAGACCGGGGGCCUCGGUGAGACCAUGGAACUUUGGCCCCUUCACCUACACAAGGCUACACUGGCCUUGGAGGGAGUGCUAUGGAGAGUCACCUGGCGAGCUCCUGGGACUGCAGAUUUAGGCCAACCAGGUACAUUCAGUCUGUUUCUGUACUCAGAGUUUAAAAGAGAGGGGUGACCACUCAAAUGACCAAAAGCCUUGGAGACCUCAACAAGACAUUGGUGAGGCCACGUUUGGAGUAUUGUGUCGGUUUUGGUCACCCUGUUACAGGAAGGAUGCCAUUAAGAUGGGAUUAAGAACGCAGAGGAGAUUUAGGACAAUGUUGCCAGGAUUCAAGGACUUGAGCUACAGGGAGGCUAGGACAUUAUUCCUUGGCGUGCAGGAGGAUGAGGGGUGAUCUUAUAUAUAAAAUAAUGAGGGGAAUAGAUAGGGUAAAUACUUUUACCCCCAGAGUAGGGGAAUCAAGAACCAGAUGACACAGGUUUAAGGUGAGGGAGGAAAGAUUUAAUAUGAACCCGAGGGGAAAACUCUUUUUACAUAAAUGAUGGUGGGUGUAUGGAAGAGUAUAUGUCAGAGGAGGUAGUUGUGGCAAGUACUAUCUCAGCAGUUAAAAUACAUUUAGCCAGGUACAUGGAAAGGCAAGGUUAGAUGGCACAGCUGGUCCCAGGCUCAAAGGCAUACACAUGCUCCUCUUUCAAUGUUCUUAACUGAACAGUAAAUAGUUAGAAAUAAAGCAGGCUUAAAUUGUAGAGGAAUGGCAGAGGACAAUAAGCCAGACUGAAGGUUAAACAUAGUGGUGGUGCCCAGUGAAAAAUGGUGAGAGUGUUAAUGGGAGAUGAAUGAUUCUGAAAUCCCAGCUAAGGAUAAACAAAGAAAGCUACAAAUGUAAGAUAGCACAUGUUCAGUUCAGUUUAUUGCCACGUAUCCCGAGGUACAGUGAAAAGCUUUUGUUGCGUGCUAACCAGCCAGUGGAAAACCUACAUGUACAUGACUACUUGAUACUGGGAUAACUGAUUACCUGUAACUGUUGAAUUUAACGUUAGUUCUGAAGCCCUACUAGAGAAAUCGACUCAAGGGUCAUCCAAGCAAUGUCAGCCCAUCACAUCUUUGCUAAAUCCAUUUUCCCACAUUGGAAUUCAACCCUUCUACGUAUUGCCUCUUCCACCGCCUGCCUAAGCAUAGUGCUUGUAUUUCAUUCCUCCACCUCCUGUGGCAGUGAGUUUCAGAUAUUAACCACUCCCUGAAUAUUAACAAACUUUCCCUUUAGAGCCACUCCUUCCUCUCACCUUAAAUCGAUGCUUCUUGUUUUUGAUAGCCCCACCUUGAGAAAAAUAACAUUUCUCUUUUCAAUGCCUGUGAUAAUUUUCUGAACAGCUCACCCCUCAGCCUCCUUCCCUCAAGGGAAAGAAGCCCAGCCUGUCUGAUCUGUCCCACAAGGAGGUUCUGCAAUCCAGGCAAGGUGCAAUGUUCAGACUGGGAGGUGUCGCAGUGGUGCCCACCCAGACAGUCUGUCGGUCGGCGGGAUGUCACCCGAAGGCUCGGCAGUCGACAGGAUCACGCACCCACCCGAAGGCUCGUCUGGACCUGCUCAAAGGUUUGUCGGUCGGCGGAACACGCCCGAAGGCAUGUCAGUUGGCAGGACCAGUAACCCACCUGGAGGCUCAUCGCAGCUCAACCGAAGGCUCGUCGGACCGGGAACCCACCAAAAGGUUCGUCGGAUGGCAUAACCGAGAGGGAGCUGGAGACAUUGGGCGCUAGGAGUGGGCAGGUAGAAGGGUGAUGCCUCCAACACCUCCAAAGUCAGCUGCAGAACGUGGCCCCAGGACAUAAAGAUGGCGAGCAAGGGGAGGACAUCUGAUUGUGGGAACUGCUCCAGUACAUCGACCGGACUCUGGACUUUGAAUAAUGGCACCAAUAACGCGGCGCCCACACGUGUAAUAUAUGUAAAAAUAAUAUCACUGUGCAGUUGCAUAUGUGACAAAUAAAGCCAUAUUGAACUAUUGAAACUUGCUAAUCAUGCCUGUGCGUUCUCAUCCAAAUCAUUGAUGUAGAUGACAAACAACAAUGCGCCCAGCACCGAACCCUGAGCUACACCACUAGUCACAGGCAUCCAGUCCAAAAAGCAACUUUCCACCAUCACCCUCUGCUUCCUUCCAUGAAAACACAUUUCUAUCCAUUCAGAUAUCUCCCCUUGGAUCCCAUGUGUUUGAACCUUCCAGAGGAGCCUACCAUGUGGACCCGUGUCGAAUGCCAUACUGAAAUACAUAUAAGUCUGCAGCUCUGCCCUCGUCAACCUUUUUGGUCACAUCUUCAUAAAACAAUGAUCUGGAUAGUAAGAUGAAAUUGGAGGAUAGCCAAUUUCAAUAUCCUACACAGAGCAUGUGAGGAUCAAUGGUGAGAAGCUCCUUGUCCACAUAUGGGAGUUAUUUCCAACACACACCAUGUACCCUAAGGAAAGGACAACAAGUUCUGUCUGGUCAGUCUAAUUGAAUUUGUCGAAGAAUACAAUAAUGACAUUCACAAUCACUGUAUGAUUGAUAUCAUCCAUGUAGACUUCAGCAAAGCAUUUGACACGGUCCCAUGUUGAAAAAUAGUCCAAAGGGUUACAACCAUUUAAUUCCAUGCAAUUUAACAAAUUGGGUUAAAAAUUGGUCAGGGAAUAGAAGGCAGAAGGUGAUGCGGACGUUGAUUUUGUGUCUGCAAGCCUGUGACCAGUGGUGAGCCAUGUUAUUGUUUAUUAUAUAAUUAAUACUUUGAAUGUGAAUAUACAAAAUAUGAUUAGUAAGUUUAUAGAGGACAUGAGCAUUGGUGGUGUGGUUGAUAGUGAGGAGAGUAGUAAGGCAGCAGAACAACAUUGAUCAGUUGGCAGAGUGAAUACAGAUAGAAUUUCAUCCUGAUGUAAUGCAUUUUGGGAGAACUAAAAGGGUAGGACACACAUAAUGAAUUUAUAAACCCCUAGGGAGUACAGGAUGAAAUCCAGCUGCCUUUGACUUGCUGGUGCCAGACUGGCAGACAUUCUUGACUGCUCUUAUUAAUCUUCAACAUACUUUUAAUU